GAUGAAGAACGUAGCGAAAUGCGAUAAGUAAUGUGAAUUGCAGAAUUCAGUGAAUCAUCGAAUCUUUGAACGCACCUUGCGCUCUUUGGUAUUCCGAAGAGCAUGCCUGUUUGAGUGUCAUGAAAAUAUCAACCUUGACUUGGGUUUUGUGCUCUAGUCUCGGCUUGGAAUUGGGUGCUUGCCGCUUUUACGAGCGGCUCACCUUAAAUGUAUUAGCUGGAUCUGUCUUUGAGACUUGGUUUGACUUGGCGUAAUAAGUAUUUCGCUAAGGACAUUCUUCGGAGUGGCCUCGUUUCUAGGACGCUUGUCCGCUUUCCAAUACAAGUUCCACCUCGCGGACAUGACUUUUUAUUAUCUGGCCUCAAAUCAGGUAGGACUACCCGCUGAACUUAAGCAUAUCAAUAAGCGGAGGA
rnacentral:misc_RNA from 1 species